rnacentral:rRNA from 1 species
GGUUGAUCCUGCCAGUAGUCAUAUGCUUGUCUCAAAGAUUAAGCCAUGCAUGUCUAAGCACAUGCCUUAAUACGGUGAAGCCGCGAAUAGCUCAUUACAACAGCCACCGUUUAUUAGAAUAUCGUUAUCCUACUUGGAUAACUGUGGCAAUUCUAGAGCUAAUACAUGCAAAAAAGCUCCGCCCGCGAGGAACGAGCGCAUUUAUUAGAAUAAAAACCAAUCGGGUCUCGGCCCGUAAUUUGGUGAAUCUGAAUAACUUUGCCAAUCGCACGGUCCUAGUACCGGCGAUGUAUCUUUCAAGUGUCUGCCUUAUCAACUUUCGAUGGUAGGUUAUACGCCUACCAUGGUAGUAACGGGUAACGGAGAAUAAGGGUUCGACUCCGGAGAGGGAGCCUGAGAAACGGCUACCACAUCCAAGGAAGGCAGCAGGCGCGCAAAUUACCCACUUCCAGAACGGAGAGGUAGUGACGAAAAAUAACGAGACAGUCCUCUUCGAGGUCUGUCAUCGGAAUGGGUACAAUUUAAAUCCUUUAACGAGGAUCUAUUGGAGGGCAAGUCUGGU